rnacentral:rRNA from 1 species
GCCCAAGAUUGAAAGCUGGCGUCUUCGGCGUCCGCAUUGUAAUCUCAAGAAGUGUUUUCCGCUUCGGACCAUGCCUAAGUCCCUUGGAAAAGGGCAUCAUAGAGGGUGAUAAUCCCGUACAUGGCAUGGAGCGCCCGAAGCUUUGUGAUACGCUUUCUACGAGUCGAGUUGUUUGGGAAUGCAGCUCAAAAUGGGUGGUAAAUGCCAUCUAAGGCUAAAUAUUGGGGAGAGACCGAUAGCGAACAAGUACAGUGAUGGAAAGAUGAAAAGAACUUUGAAAAGAGAGUUAAACAGUACGUGAAAUUGCCAAAAGGGAAGGGUAGGAGGUCAGAGAUGCGUCUUGGGAUUCAGCCUUGCUUUUGCAUGGUGUUUUUCCCAAGUUGCAGGCCAACGUCGGUUUUGGGCACUGGAGAAGGGUAGGAGGAACGUGGCACCUCUCGGGGUGUGUUAUAGCCUCCUACUGGAUACAGCGACCGAGACCGAGGAACGCAGCGUACUCGUAAGAGCGGGCCUUUUGGCACCUUUACGCUUAGGGCGUUGGCAUAAUGGCCCUCUACCACC